UUGAAUCUGAUUACAUAUGCCAUCCUCUACUUUUUUUUUUUAAGUUUUUUUGCUUGUUUGUUUUAAGUUAUUUUAUCUAUUUCUUUUUGGCUGCGUUGGGUCUUUGUUGCUGUAUGCGGGCUUUCUCUAGUUGCGGUGAGCGGGGGCUGCUCUUUGUUUUGGCGCGUGGGCUUCUCAUCGUGGUGGCUUCUCUUGUUGCGGAGCACGGACUCUAGAUGCGUGGGCUUCAGUAGUUGUGGUGCACGGGCUUAGUUGCUCUGUUGCAUGUGGGAUCUUCCUGGACCAGGGCUCGAACCCGUGUCUGCUGCAUUAGCAGGCGGAUUCUUAACCACUGCACCACCAGGGAAGCCCCAUCCUCUACUUUAAAAAAAAAUUAUAUACAUAAAAUUAUUCAAGCUCCUUAUAGUAAGUCACAACUCAGAAGAGCAGAUGUCAAAUGCUUUUCUUAUUUAGAGGAAAUAUUUUGCUGAAGGCAGUUGUAUUGCUUUAAGGCCACCUGUUAGCUUUUGGAUGAAACAGACAAAAGAGCCAAGUCAGUACAAAGCACUGGGGUCAGUGACAUUUACAGGAAACACCAAGCACAGAGGCUAACACCGAGACAAAAGAUUGUGUGUGCUGAGCCCAUCACUACCGAGGGCAGAGGCAGUGGCUAGGCGAGCUGGUUCCUAGUUAGGCUACUCCUGUGUGAAAGGUAAUAGCAGAAUUUCAUGUGCCCUGCAUUGAGAAAUCGAACGUACUGAGAUUAUAUACAGCUCAAGAACAAAAGUCACAUCUAAGAAACAUCUAAGAUAUUCCAGUGUGGUGUUCAAAUAUCUAAGACAAUACCAAAUGCGGAUAGUUACAGUCUUGCAUCCUUAGGGAUGGUUUUUCAUGGUCCCUAAGCCAGUGAUAUUUUAGGGGGAGGCAUACGGAAGUCCACUGGAGCACUCUUUGUAAUUGCAGAGUUGGCAACAACAGAAGGUUCAUCAGCAGAGGAACAGCUGAACAAAUUAUGGACAUCCACGCGAUAGGACUUUGUAUCAUUUAAAAGGGAAAAGAACAGGAUUCUGUCCUGCAGACGUGAUGGUGAGAGGCUCUGAUGUGUGGAGAGCUUCUCUGUUUCUCAGAACAGCUCCUGGCCCCCCACUGGGCUCUCACGUACAAGCUGGCCUGAUGCGGGGAUGGCAGUACCACCCACGGAGCCAGACACUGCUUUCUACUUUAUUCAACAUUAAUGCACAAGCACAAGUGGACUGACUUACUGUGGGGAGAACUAAAGGGCACCUAGGAGGAGAGAGGGACCUUCGGGGCGAGAACCACACAACAGAGACCCAUCUUCACAAAAACGGCUCAAUGUUGAUUUCCACGCAGGAGCAGGGCAUGGUCAGCUCGAAUUUGGUGAUAACAUCAGGAUGAAGGACCCCCAGCUUCCCGAUGCUCUGACCCCGGGCAAAGAUCUCAGCACAUCGCCCGGGGAAGAAUGCAGGGCCUGAAAAACAGGGAGAGAAAGAUCAACGUUUCUCCUGGAAAAAAUGUCAAGACAUUUAACAUUGAAAGCUCACUAGUCUACUUUGAAAAAUAACUAUUCUUCUUUAAACCACUGGCCAUGAAAUAAGAGUGCUCCCUCACACUUUCUGGUCUUAAAAAGAAGCAUUUGAGACAGCUAGUGGGAAGCAGCGGCAUAGCACAGGGAGAUCAGCUCGGUGCUUGUGACCACCUAGAGGGGUGAGAUAAGGAGGGAGGGAGACGCAAGAGGGAAGAGAUAUGGGGCUAUAUUCACUUUGUUAUAAAGCAAGAAACUAACACACCAUUGUAAAGCAAUUAUACUCCAAUAAAGAUGUUGAAAAAAAGAAGCAUUUUAUAAGGAAAGAAAAGGUUAGGGGCAAAUAUGAAAAUCAGGGCCCUGUGUUUUUUAUCACAGCGGUCCAGGAAGGAUGAAGAAAAGGAGGCUGAAGGAGCAGGGGUGGGAGAAGACUUGGGAAGUAUGCAGACGUGGAACUGCUCUACAGAGGACAAAGGGAAAAAUGAAAUGUAAAACCAACGACUUUGCCUGGGAAGAACCUGUUUUGAAACAGGUUUUUCCAUAGUAAUACUUGCUGGAUUAAAGCCUACACUGAAUUCAUGUACUAUUCAAAACAUCACUCUUUUCUACCUCAUUCCAUAGAGAAACGCGAGCUGCACUGUCAUCGGCAGGCGUAGGCCUUGUACCAGAAUGUGACCCACAUUCCUGUGGGAAAGAGAACUUCCUAAGCAGUUCUGGCACAUCUACUGUAAACCUGCAGCAGAGGCUAGCCCCAGAGCAAGGCUGGGUUGGCCUCUGAUCUACUCAAGACAGGCAGAAGCUUCCCUCCCCAUCUGGGUGCCAAGGCAUGGCUAUGGCUUACUAACCCAGUAACAGUUCUUGAGGUUUAAACAGCUAAAAACAAGCGAGCAGACAAACGUACAGGCCCACUGCAGAGUCACUAAGUUACCAGUGCCACAGGGACGCAUCAACGCUCCAUACUCCACUGAGGUUAACGCCAAUGCUGACUCACUUCUCUCAUCACCAACUUGUAAAGGGAUUAGGUCCGCAGCUCCUGACUGAUUCACCCAAAACAUCUACUGGCAUCAACUAUAAAAUGCCGAGCCACAAGCCUCCAGCCCGCCAUUUCAGAGUGAGUGCGUUAUUUAUGAAAGAGUAAACUUCUGAGUCUCUACUAAUGGUUCCAAGGUCAGCAUAAGGAAGAAACACAGAACUGUGUGUGUGUGUGU